GAUUUUGUACACACCGCCCGUCACACCAUGGGAGUGGGCUUUACCAGAAGUAGUUAGCCUAACCGCAAGGAGGGCGAUUACCACGGUAGGGUUCAUGACUGGGGUGAAGUCGUAACAAGGUAGCCGUAUCGGAAGGUGCGGCUGGAUCACCUCCUUUA
rnacentral:rRNA from 1 species